AAAAAGCCUUUGUAGACUUCGUUUGGGGUGGUCAUCAUUGGCUUCCCCUGGGGGUACUGUGUCUGCCUACAAUCGAUGGCGGUCAGGGAUUAAUUAAUUUAGCCUCUAAGGUGAAAUCUGAAAUUUCUAACUUUGUUUUAGCUGGGACAACUAAAGUUGGAAACCUAUUUGACUUGUCGAAUAGAGAGUGUUUUUCAGUACAGAAUCUAACUAGAAAGAUUACUGGUAGAUCAGAGAGAAUAGUCGGGAACAUAUUAAAGGAUUUGAAAACAUCUUUUCCUACAUCUUUGUGGGAUUAUAUAACCGAGUUUAAGUCCGGCGGUAACACAAAGGUCUUUUUUCCAGAAGUGUACUUAACUCCAGAGGUAGCUCAAAUUAACAAUGGAGACAAUGUAAACAUUUUGUUAUCUUUUAAAGGCUUGCAAAGUCUUCCGUUUUCCAUGGUGAACAAACAAAAUGCAUAUAUUUCCUGUGUAAAGUCCGACUUUGUCAGACAUCUAAGGGGGAGGAGGCAUACAGAAUGGAGGACUCAUUUCUUGACGUCGGGAGAUAAUGAACCUUCAUGGCAGUUAUUGUAUAAAAACCCUCUACCAAAAAGGUCUGGUGACUUACAGUGGCGGAUUUUACAUUGUGCAUUACCAACAAAAGUGUUUUUGUUUAAAUGUAAAUAUGCAUCGUCUCCACUGUGUACUUUGUGUGAUGAACUGGAUACUGUGUUUCAUGUCUUUUGUGAAUGUUGUAAAUUAUCUCCGCUCUUAAAUCUAUUGGAUACAAUGUUUCAUAGUUUGGCGAUCAUUUUCUCGAAAACAGGGUUUAUUUAUGGGGGUAGAUAUUCUUGCCACAGGCAGGAAAUCUGUACCUAUUCAAAUUUUUUGGUCGGUCAAGCAAAAUUAGCCAUUUGGAAGGCUUACAAAAUGGGAUUGGAAGGGAAAGAAGUAAACAUGGUUAAAUUAUUUAAGGCCUUGGUUGAGUCUAGGAUUAGAUUAAAGUAUGAAUUUUACCAAAUGAAUGGUGAUCUUCCGAUGUUUGAGAAGAAAUGGUGUGUAAACAAAGGGGUGACUUAUAAGAGGCGAGAAUCUCUUUUUCAAUUGGUAAUGGUCGUUAAAACAAUGUGUUCUGUAUGUUAAGGUUUUUUAAAUUGUAAAAUAAAUUAUAUUUUAAAAGUCAAAGUCUCUCUCUUUCUUCUCUCUCUCCCCACAGAUGUGUCGUUAUCUCUAGCAUCCCUGCUGGUGCCUCUACAAAUUACACCUGCAACAUGAGGGGUCGUCAUGUGAACAUCAUCAUUCCCAAUGUUAUCCAGGCUCUCACGCUCUGUGAAGUGGAAGUCUAUGGGGUUCCAGAUGAUAUCUGCCAAUGUCCAGCCUUCAGUGCGUCAGAUCUGUUGGACUAAGGAACCAGAGGUGGAAAAUUAAACUUAAAAAACGGUGGCAGAAAUAUAUCUGAAACAAGAAGAAGAAGAAGCGGAAGAAGAAGAAGUGUUCAAAGAACAAAAAGAAAAAAAACAUCAAAUGUGUGAGGUUUGGGUGUAGCACUUAAAUACUAGCUAACUGAUGUUAUAGGUUUAUUAAUUAGAAGUACUAGAAAUUUUUCAGUUUGCUUGUUUGGGAAAUGUAGCUAUGAAAAAUUAUUACCACAGGGUUUGUACAAGGUGCUUGAAUUUGGCAUUUGGAAAUUUAAGUACUGGAAAACCUUGAAAAUAGCCAUUUUUUAUGUAACAGUGGUUAAAAAGUGCUUGAAUGAUAAAAAGUCAAUAAAUAAAAAAUAACAAUUUUCAAAAGAACACGAAUACAAUCCUUUCACUCAAAAUAUGACUCCCCGCUGCAGCCCCUCCUCCUCCUGCCGUUCACUCAUUCAUUUUAACAGGGACAGCUUCGGUCCACUUCUCAGACCCCUUUAGCAACUUUUUUUUUUUUUUUUUUUAAAGCAUCUAGCAAUAUAUCUAUCGAUUUUUUGGACAAACCUUAGCUACUUUCUGUAGAAGAUAAUGGCCAGUACUGCCCGGCGAGUGCGAGGUCCUGCUUUCAGAAACAGAAAAAAUAUGUAAAUGAGAACAGCUUUAUUGGGAAUUCGGCUGUAUUAAAAUUCAGCAUGUGAGCACAGAGAGUAGGAUGUAAUAAAGGGCUGACACUAGGCAGAGUGAAAAUACGAUGUAAUGGUGAAAUUAUGGUGAAAAUGAAGCAAUGACUGGGAAAUACAAAUUUAGUCCAUCAUGGCUGGGAAAAGGAGCUAUAUAAAAAUGGUUGUUUUAAAAAAAAUUAUUAUUAUUAAGAUUUUUUUUGGAAAUGAAGGAUAUGUUUCAAUGACAUCUCUUGUAUAGUCCUUGAAAACAAAACAAAACAAAACAGUGCUUGAAAAGUCCUUGAAAAUCCUGGAAUUUCAUUAUGAAGCAUCUGUACAGACCCUGUUAUAUGUACUAUGUGAUUGAUGUAUUAAACAUGCCUCUUGAUUUCUGGGUUUAGCAUAGUUAUACCUCGGUUUGAGUUUAAAACAAUAGCUAUAUUUUCUGGUAGAAUAAUGCUAGUUAAGUUUCUCUCCCAAAUAUUAUUGAGUAGAUAAAGUAUAUUCAGUAGCUUUUCUGGGAUAGUGAGAAUUUAGGUUAAUAUAGUAGAAAACAAAACACUCAGAUUAUCCUGGUUGUAAGAACUGCUCAUUCAUCAGUACACCUUUACAGUUUUCACUGCAGAUAUAUCAUCAGCUUUAUUGAACAAUACUCAGAAUCCUUGUCACCUCCCAGCCAAUCAGUCAUGAUGAAUUUUUGUAUGGUUGGAAGCAUGUUUAAAACACAGAAAGUGCCGAGAUCAUGUAAGAAUGAGGUUUUACUCACUGGCAUAUAUGUGUUCACUUUAAACUUUGUUCCUUCCCUUAAACACUUACCUGCUUGAGAA